UAUCACUUUGCUAUAAUCAAAAAGUGAAUCUAGCCAUUAUCCAAAGAUUUUUCUAAAUUGAAGUAUAAUUGAUUUACAAGGUUGUAUUAAUUUCUGCUGUAAAGUGAUUAAGUUAUACAUGUAUAUAUACAUUCUUUUUUUAUAUUCUUUUCCAUUAUGGCUUAUCACAGGAUAUAGAAUAUAUAAUUCCCUGUGCUAGGUAGGUCCUUGUUAUUUAUCCCAAAGAUUUAUUUUUAAUUUCUUAUUAUUUUUAAUUGAAGGAUAAUUACUUUAUAGUAUUGUGUUGGUUUCUGCCAGAUAUCCACAUGAAUCUAAAGAUGUUUGAUCAUUGUAAAACAUAAGUGAGAAAGUCAUUUUGUCAGCCUUCAAAUGAACAGUGUGACUUAGAAGCCUAAGACUGUUGAGUUCCCUCCCAUCCCGGAGGAGUUGGAAGAUUGGUACUGGGGGUGAUAACCUCCCCUUUAGUGAGCUGAUGAUUGUGGCACAUAUUAUGGAUGCAGUGAUUUCUGUUCCUUCCUCAUAUUUUCUCAGUUAUUCCCAUUCUCCAGAUGAAACCAAAGCUGUGAGAAAAAUGAAGUCACUUGCCUAAGUCCCCACAGGUUAUAGUCCCAGAGCCAGUAUUAGAACUCAAGCUGUCUGACUGCAUCCUGACCUGUAGUUCCGAUUUGUGGGAAUCUGACACAGUUGGAUCAUUUGGUGUUCUAGAGAUUGCCUGGAGACAGGAGUGGUGACCAAGAGGAAGCUCUGUGCCCGAGCUCCAAACCUGGCUUUAACUAAAUUGUUGAAUCAGGUCUCUGUGUGUCUUCCUGCAUGGAGGGGAAUAGAAUCAAGCCUUCCCCCAAACACUCAUUUGUAAUCCUAAUCACCUUCUCUCCAUUUUUGCUGGCUUUCCCCCCAUUCUGUUACCAUCUGUCUCAGAAACACUGCCUGGAUAAAGACAAGUCUAAGCAGUUGCUCGCCCUCCAACAAAACAUAGAAUUAUUUCUCUUUUCCCCCAGAGCAGUGCCGAGCACCAUAUUUGAGGAGUUCCAUAUUUAUAAAACUUGCCUGCAUCUCAGCAAUGUCUGGUUGCUGUCCAUUUUAUCAUUCUUCAAAUAUGUUCUAUAUUGGCUGGAAACGAUUAGCUUUGUUACUGGAGGGUUUGUGGGAUGCUUGAAUUUCUUCACAGAGUUUUCAGAUGGAAAUCCAUGUAGUUUUCUCCUUUAAGAAAUGAAAUUCCUUAAUAAAAGACAGCAUGGGAGAGAGUGCAUGCUGAGGUUUCUUUUUGAACCCCCCACACACCCUCACUCCUUGGUUUUCCCUGAGGGUAACUAUGGUGGAGUCUUAUGUCAUGACCCUGUGGAGAGAAUAAAUAGUGAAUCUCUUUUUCCUGGGUCUGAAACCACUUCCUCAUGCCUCUGUUUGGGGGCCCCUUUUUGAUGUCAAGGGUGGUGCUCCACACCCACAGGAUUGUAGUAUUUCCCCCAGUCUUUGACCCAUUCACCUUCUUUCCUGGCCGAUGACUUUCCACGUCUUGACCCAUCUGGGCUGACUGGAAUGGAAAUUCUUCUUGAAUGUCCUUCCCAGCAGGUCCCAGCCUGAUUCUGCACUGGCUUUUGGAAACUCCAAGAAGUCUGGACAGAAAGGCCCCAGCAGAUGUCAAAUGUAAAACCAGACAAGUAUUAAAAAUCACUGAAACUUUGGGAGGAAAAUAUGGAUUGACUAGGUGUUUGUCAAGUGAUUUCUUUUAAGAAAAGUUAUGGAAUUGUAUUUUUCUCAUGCAGAAAUGUUAAAAUGACUAUGUAUUACUCUAAAAUGAUGGUGCGUAGAGGGCUGUUAAAGCGUAGAGAUUAAUGAUAACAAAACAGCCAAUCCUUACACAGUACAUAUUAUCUGUCAGGCACUAUCCUUCACUUGUACAUGUAUUUUUAACCCAGGUAUCACAGCUGCGUAUGGCAGAGCCAGGAUUCAAACCUCAGCAAGUCUGGCUCUAGACUUUAAAAAUAUGUUACGGAUUCUUUUAGAUGCCCAAAUUUUAGGCGUUCAAUUUUAUUAAUAUGCUGUUUUCAUAGUCUGUGUUUAUUUCCAUUGAAAACCGUGUAAUUAUAGAUUUUAUGGUCUUUAUAUAUUGUAGGAAGAUAACUGGUUCUUUAAACCAAUAAAAUUUUACUCAAAAGAAAGUCAGUGGCUAGAUUAAUACAUCCCUAUGGAAAUAUAAGUUUUAAGAACCAAAUGAGAAAUAUGUGCACAUAGUUAAAAUAGAAAGGUUUCAAAAGUACAAUUUGGAAAUGCACUUCUAAAUUGUUUUGUGUGGAUUUAACUUCAGAAAGUCAGUUCUAUCUAUAAAUUUAGUGUGGGAUUUAUUCCAGUAAAAGAGUACAGGGACUCUUUCUGUAAUGUGAAUAGUCAGCUCCUGAACCAACUGGAUUUACAAGGUAUAAACCUUUUCUCUGCCUUCCUCUACCAAUUUGAAAAUUAGAUAUUUGAACAUUUUGAUAUAUUAUAGAAAUAGAGUAUUUUUUUAUAUUAAAACAAAAUUAGUUCUUCAUCAAGGCAUAAUCAGCAAUGCAUGUCAAGCCUUGGUCAGAGCAGUUGCUAACUCUGUCAGGGUUAAAGGAAGUAUGCUGAAAGGAGAUAACUGAAGUUAAACUGCUCAGACCGAGGCUUCCAGAUUUUUUGUGUGGGGACUUGCACUCCUUAUUACUGCAUUCUUCCUGUCUGUGUAAUACCUGGGAACAAUUUAUUCCAUGUAAUCCCACCCCCAUCUUGGUAGUAAACUUUUUUUUUUUUUUUUUUUUUUGCUGAAGAGGAAGACUUUCAGGCAUGCCAAUAUAUUUAAUCAGAAUUUUCUCAGAUGACAUUGAAAGAUUUUCAGGUUUUUAUUUUGCAGCUUGUAGGCAGGUUGGGAUUUAAGAACAGUACAGAUGCUUGUGUGUGUGUGAGAGAGAGAGAUGUGGUUAUAUUGCAUAUGUGCUUGUGUGUGAGUGGCUCAGAUUAGAAUGUGAAUUGUAGUAAAUGCAAAAGUGAAAGUUGCAACAUGGCUCCCAUGCCCCUGAUCACUUCCGAAAGAACAUGCCACGUGGGCUGUAGACUUACAGACUUAAACUUGGAUCCACAGGGUACAAAGAGUCCUAGUCCUCCAUGAUAAAAGCCUCCAGUAGAUCUAAAAUUAUAAAACCUGUUUACUGCUGUUCGCGUGAACUCAAACAUUCAGUUGCCUCAGUUGCAAAAUUUUCAACAAAUAAUUAGGAUGGUUUAAAUAUUUGGGACUAGAACCAGAGCCUCACCAUACCAUCAAAAUACUCUUGCAACUUUCUCUUUUACAUGAUCCAGUUCUUUGAAACCAUUUAGAAUCUGCCUUGUGGUCCUGAAAUGUACAAGUUAUAAAAGAAAAAAAUGUGAGCUUGUCAGAUUAACUACAAUCACCAGUCUAAUAAAACUGAGUCACAUCCAAAUGGGCUGCACUUACGCUACCCUCCCAUUCUAGGGAAAACGUGGCUGGGGGAGGCAGUCUGAGUCAUCACCUGGUUUGUUUGACAUACGCUUCCUUCCAUAAAUUGGGAAUGGCAAGCAGCACAGUGUUCCCGGCUUGCCUCGGAGAAGGAGCUCUUGCAGCCUUGCACGAUCAAAAUAGGGCCUUUUAGAUUUGAAGGUUGAAGCUAUGUCCAUAUUUUGGCUUCAAAUGUCCAGGGGAGAGGGAGAAACCCAGACAGACCCAAACAAAGAACAAAUGAAUGAAAUGCAGAUAACUCUUUAGAAAACUUUCAUAGGAAAAAAGCGCCUCGUGUGAUCUGGAACAAAGACAUUUUCUAAUCAGAUUUAUCAAGCUGUGAAGAGGGAGUUUUAGCGAACGGAAGCAGCAGCAUUCUGUCACCAGGAAAUACUGCUUUAUCCAGAAUUGAGCCCCACCCUGAAGGCUGCAUAUCAUCUAGCUGCUGGAAUGUGUAGGUACCCUCAAUGGCUCAGUAGCCAGUGUAGAUCCUGUCUUUUGUAAUCAGUAGCUACAUCUGGCUACUGGGUCUCUGAUGGCAUCUUCUAUCUUCAGUUACGGUGUCCUGAGUGAGAUUAUUGAGAAGUCCUCAAUAAUAAAGCUUUACCUUGAUUUAUACAUAUGUAUACACACAGAGUUAAGUUCUGGGGUGACUGGUAAGUCUUCCCUUAUUAGCGGGAGUGUGGGAACCAUCAAGCUUUCAUGAAUGAUAAGGUCUAUUGAAUUUCAGCACCACGAAGGGGAGGAAUCUGGAUGGUUUAUCCAUAGAUUGUUUAUAUAUCUUUUUUUCUCUCUCUCCCAUGUGCUUCCAUCAUUUGUUCACAAGACUAUCUAUCAAGCAUUUGGUUAUAAAUCAGUCUAUCUAUCUAUCAUCCAUCUACCUACUACCUAUCUUACCUGUCCAUCUAUCUUAUCCAUCCAUCCAUCCAUUUCAUCUCUUGACUUUUAAAUGACAUUCUCAAAAUAACAUGGUAAUUUUAUUUUAAGGAAGUUCCACCUGUAGUAGAUACAUCCCAGCAGUGCAUUUCUGACUUGUGGUUGUCUUUUCCCUUUGUUAGAGAAGAAAAAUGCCAGAAAUCUUAAAUGCAGCAGGCAAUUCUAUUGAAAUCAUACGUGGGAAGUCUUACAGGCCCAACAUCCAGGUCUAGGGCAUGAACCUGGCAUACAAUGUAGAUUUCUGUGUUUGUUGAGCAACAGCUACAUUGUCUGCUGGGUUUCAGGCUACCUGGAAACACGUUCUUCAUGGCUGUUUUCAUCAAUGCUUCACCUAUACUGUUUUGGAAUAACUUUUGCAGGCAGCGUAAACCAUUGGGCUUAAUCAUUGGACAGAGUGCAGUGAAAGGACCCCAUGAAAGCUGAUCAUUUUAGCAAAACGUGAUUUUGUUAUGAUUUCACCAAGAUGGUCACACAUCAGCCUGGGAAGCUCAGUGAACCAGGGACCAGGUAUAAUGCUUCCCUUCUUCUCUCUGCCUCAGCUCUCAAGGAUUGGUCACCUGCAUGUUAUUAGUAUUAUUAUUUGAUUUCUAUUCCUAUUUACUAUCAGAAGGCAUAGCCUCUAUGGGCUUCAUCACUGUGCCCUGCUACAUCACCAUUCCUCCUCAUUUUGGCUUCUUGACCACCUGCAGGAGCCCAGUUUCUUUUUGUUCUUUUUCCACAGCCCCGUAAUUUUUUUCAAUGACUUUCAAUCUCAGAAGAAUCUAUAUCUCUCUGCCCCAACAUCCCACCCCAUCAUUUGCUCCCUGAUGUGAAGUGUAAAGUGGGUUUUUUGUUUUUAUUUGUUUGCCACUAUUCACCAUCUCUUAUGAAACCGGAAGAAGAACAGCUUUCUUAUGGAAUGAAAAAGAACUUGUAAAGAUAAACCACCAGUUUUCAGGAGAAAAAGAAGAAAAGAAUGUUGGAAAUAGCUUCUGGAAAACUUUUUUCCAUUAUGUUCUGUUUGUCUGUUCCUGGUAAAUAAAUUUAAAUCUCUCAGUGUUAAAAAAAAGAUCAGUCUAAACCAUUAAAUUCUCAAUAAUAAAAGAAUAUAAGUUUUAAAGGAGAUAUUAUAAACCCUUGGUUAGAUGAACUGGAGACUUUUAGUAAGAAAAUAUGAAUUUUAAAUGAAUACAAGUUAACAGAUUUAAAGCAGAAAAUGAAUAUAAGGAACACAAAGAUACAUGUCUGUAUGUAAUAGUUGAUUGUAAUGAUAUAAUGUAUUUUUUUCACCCUGUGCUGGAUCAGUAAAAAUAAAGUCAAUGACUUGAAGCUUUUAAAAUACAGUGUAUGUUUGUGUAUCUUUUAACUUCCAAUCCAUUGUCUAUUUUGUACCUAAGUCACUGGCCUUUGUGCCCUCUAAGAGAAAGUCAUUCUACUUGAGUUACUUGACAACCUUUAAAGAGUGAGAAAAGUCUCUAGGACACAUGAUUAGGUUUAUUAAAUUAUAAUUGUCAAGGAGACAGUUUUCUUUCUCCUCUCUUCACUCUUAUACUUGUGAUGUUCUGAGUCCCUUUGACUAUCCUUAAACAAGACAAUGUUGACAGUGGAGCCUAUUGUGAAGAACAACUCCCUAGUUACAUGGUCAAGUUUUCAUUUCCCUCUCAAGUUUGAUGGACCAGCGUUGAAUUGAUCCCCAAAGCAAGAAUAAAAGUGCAAAUAACCAAGAACUUGUUUUCUCAUUUUUUCUCAGCUUUUACUCUAGUACCCAAGAAAGGAUGGACAUUGGUAUGUUGACUUUUCCUAGAGAAGACAUAG